GAUGAACGCUGGCGGCGUGCCUAAUACAUGCAAGUAGAACGGAGUUGCGCACGGGUGAGUAUCGUGUCUGUAACUGCCUGGUAGCGGGGGAUUAACUUUUGAAACGAUAGCUUAUACCGCAUACUACCAGAUGGACCUGCGUUGUUUUAGAUUGUUGGUGGGGUAACGGCGCACCAAGGCAACGAUACAUACCCGACCUGGGAGGGUGAGCGGACACACUGGGACUUAGACACGGCCCAUACUCCUACGGGAGGCAGCAGUAGGGAAUCUUCGGCAAUGGACGGAAGUCUGACCGAGCAACGCCGCGGGAGUGAAGGAGGUUUUCGGAUCGUAAAGCUCUGUUGUAAGAGAAGCGGUAUCUUACCAGAAAGGGACGGCUAACUACGUGCCAGCAGCCGCGGUAAUAC
rnacentral:rRNA from 1 species